GAUUUCUACAAUCAUAAGCGGAGGAAAAGAAACUAACAAGGAUUCCCCUAGUAACUGCGAGUGAAGCGGGAAAAGCUCAAAUUUAAAAUCGGGUGGCUUYGGCCCUUCGAGUUGUAAUUUAGAGAAGCGUAUUCCGCGCUGGACCGUGCACAAGUCUCCUGGAAUGGAGCGUCAUAGAGGGUGAGAAUCCCGUCUUUGGCACGGACGCACCAGGGCUUCUGUGAUGCGCUCUCGAAGAGUCGAGUUGUUUGGGAAUGCAGCUCAAAAUGGGUGGUGAACUCCAUCUAAAGCUAAAUAUUGGCGAGAGACCGAUAGCGAACAAGUACCGUGAGGGAAAGAUGAAAAGCACUUUGGAAAGAGAGUGAAACAGUACGUGAAAUUGUUGAAAGGGAAACGCUUGAAGUCAGUCGCGUCGACCGAGACUCAGCCUUGCCUCGGCUUGGUGUACUUCUCGGCUGACGGGUCAGCAUCAAUUUUGCCCCUUGGAUAAUGGCGAGGGAAAUGUGACACCUUUGCGGGUGUGUUAUAGUCUCCCGUCGCAUGCAAGGGUCGGGAUUGAGGAACUCAGCACGCGCCUUUGGGCGUCGGGGCUUUGCCCACGAUACGUGCUUAGGAUGUUGGCGUAAUGGCUUUAAACGACCCGUCUUGAAACACGGACCAAGGAGUCUAACAUGCCCGCGAGUGUUCGGGUGGAAAACCCGUGCGCGCAAUGAAAGUGAAAGUUGGGACCUCUGUCGUGGAGGGCACCGACGCCCGGACCAGACCUUCUGUGACGGAUCUGCGGUGGAGCGUGUAUGUUAGGACCCGAAAGAUGGUGAACUAUGCCUGAAUAGGGUGAAGCCAGAGGAAACUCUGGUGGAGGCUCGUAGCGAUUCUGACGUGCAAAUCGAUCGUCAAAUUUGGGUAUAGGGGCGAAGACUAAUCGACCAUCUAGACGGCG
rnacentral:rRNA from 1 species